rnacentral:rRNA from 1 species
GAUGAACGCUGGCGGCGUGCUUAACACAUGCAAGUCGAACGGAGUUUAUGUAGAAUGAGUCUUCGGACAAGUGAAAUAUAGACUUAGUGGCGGACGGGUGAGUAACGUGUGGGUAACCUACCCUAUACAGGAGGAUAACAGUAAGAAAUUAUUGCUAAAACUGCAUAAGAUUACGAGUUCGCAUGAACAAGUGAUAAAAACUUUAGUGGUAUAGGAUGGGCCCGCAUCUGAUUAGGUAGUUGGUGGAGUAAAAGCCUACCAAGCCGACGAUCAGUAGCCGAUCUGAGAGGAUGACCGGCCACAUUGGGACUGAGACACGGCCCAAACUCCUACGGGAGGCAGCAGUGGGGAAUAUUGGACAAUGGGGGAAACCCUGAUCCAGCGACGCCGCGUGAGUGAAGAAGUAUUUCGGUAUGUAAAGCUCUAUCAGCAGGGAAGAAAAUGACGGUACCUGACUAAGAAGCCCCGGCUAACUACGUGCCAGCAGCCGCGGUAAUACGUAGGGGGCAAGCGUUAUCCGGAUUUACUGGGUGUAAAGGGAGCGUAGACGGCGAUGUAAGUCUGAAGUGAAAGCCCACGGCUCAACUGUGGGACUGCUUUGGAAACUAUGUAGCUAGAGUAUCGGAGGGGCAAGCGGAAUUCCUAGUGUAGCGGUGAAAUGCGUAGAUAUUAGGAGGAACACCGGAGGCGAAGGCGGCUUGCUGGACGAAGACUGACGUUGAGGCUCGAAGGCGUGGGGAGCAAACAGG